GACGAACGCUGGCGGCGUGCUUAACACAUGCAAGUCGAACGAAGUGGCGAACGGGUGAGUAACGCGUAAUCAACCUGCCAUUCAGAGGGGGACAACAGGUGGAAAAGACGGCUAAUACCGCAUACUGAAGGAGGGGAGUGCGUCUGAGUAGCUAGUUGGAGGGGUAACGGCCCACAAAGGCAGUGAUCGGUAGCCGGUCUGCGAGGCUGAACGGCCACAUUGGGACUGAGACACGGCCCAGACUCCUACGGGAGGCAGCAGUGGGGAAUCUUCCGCAAUGGACGAAAGUCUUACUGAGCAACGCCGCGGGAGUGAUGACGGCCUUCGGGUUGUAAAGCUCUGUUAAUCGGUACGCGGUACCGGAAUAGAAAGCCACGGCUAACUACGUGCCAGCAGCCGCGGUAAUUC
rnacentral:rRNA from 1 species